CAAUUAUUAUUGUCCAGGUCAUAUUUGAUAACUGUUGUUAAUUGAUAACAUAUUACAGGGACACAGUAAAAAGACAAAACAUUUAGACCCUUUGAAAGAGAAAUGUUUGCAAUGGAUAUUAAUAAAUUCUAGCCAAUUUGUACGAUGUACAAUGCAGGCAAUAUUUCUGCCUCAUAACGCACUAUUCGCGUAAAAGAAGAUAACAGAUUUAUUAUUAGUUGGCUAGUGUGUUAGUAGGAUAGCCAUUGGUAGUUAUAAAGUAUGAAGUCGUCAGGUAUUAAUAAUAGGAAUUGAUCAAAGCUUAUACAUUUAUUGUGAUAUUUAUAUUGUGAAUUUAAGUAGUUAGUUUUGGUUGUUUAAUAAACGAAUUAAUGUGC
rnacentral:lncRNA from 1 species